UGCUAGUUGUACGAGUUUAGACUCGUAGCAGAUAGCUCAGUAACACGUGGCCAAACUACCCUAUGGAUCCGGACAACCUCGGGAAACUGAGGCUAAUCCGGAAUACGACUCUCAGCCUGGAAGUGGCGAGAGUCAGAAACGCCCCGGCGCCAUAGGAUGUGGCUGCGGCCGAUUAGGUAGACGGUGGGGUAACGGCCCACCGUGCCCAUAAUCGGUACGGGUUGUGAGAGCAAGAGCCCGGAGACGGUAUCUGAGACAAGAUACCGGGCCCUACGGGGCGCAGCAGGCGCGAAACCUUUACACUGCACGAAAGUGCGAUAAGGGGACUCCAAGUGCGAGGGCAUAUAGUCCUCGCUUUUCACUACCGUAAGGAGGUAGUAGAAUAAGUGCUGGGCAAGACCGGUGCCAGCCGCCGCGGUAAUACCGGCAGCACGAGUGAUGACCGCUCUUAUUGGGCCUAAAGCGUCCGUAGCUGGCCACGCAAGUCUAUCGGGAAAUCCGCGCGCUCAACGCGCGGGCGUCCGGUGGAAACUGUGUGGCUUGGGACCGGAAGAUCCAGAGGGUACGUCUGGGGUAGGAGUGAAAUCCCGUAAUCCUGGACGGACCACCGGUGGCGAAAGCGCUCUGGAAAGACGGAUCCGACGGUGAGGGACGAAAGCUCGGGUCACGAACCGGAUUAGAUACCCGGGUAGUCCGAGCUGUAAACGAUGUCUGCUAGAUGUGCCACAGGCUACGAGCCUGUGGUGUGUCGUAGGGAAGCCGUGAAGCAGACCGCCUGGGAAGUACGUCCGCAAGGAUGAAACUUAA
rnacentral:rRNA from 1 species